AUGAACGCUAGCGAUAGGCUUAACCCAUGCAAGUCGAGGGGUAACGUGUUGGAAGCUUGCUUCCGAUGACGACGACCGGCGGAUGGGUGCGUAACGCGUAUGCAACUUGCCUCACAGUGGAGAAUAACCCGGAGAAAUCCGGACUAAUACUCCAUACACUCUUAAGUACGCCUGUACAUGAGAGGAAAGAUUUAUCGCUGUGAGAUAGGCAUGCGUCCUAUUAGGUAGUUGGUGAGGUAACGGCUCACCAAGCCGACGAUAGGUAGGGGUGCUGAGAGGCAGAUCCCCCACAUUGGGACUGAGACACGGCCCAAACUCCUACGGGAGGCAGCAGUGAGGAAUAUUGGUCAAUGGAGGAAACUCUGAACCAGCCAAGUCGCGUGAAGGAAGAAUGUCCUAAGGAUUGUAAACUUCUUUAGCGAGCGAGUAAGGACUUCCACGUGAUGGGAGUUUGAAAGUAGCUCGAGAAUAAGUAUCGGCUAACUCCGUG
rnacentral:rRNA from 1 species